UACAGAGGGUGCAAGCGUUAAUCGGAAUUACUGGGCGUAAAGCGCACGUAGGCGGAUUUGUAAGUCAGGGGUGAAAUCCCGGGGCUCAACCUCGGAACUGCCUUUGAUACUGCAAGUCUCGAGUCCGAUAGAGGUGAGUGGAAUUCCUAGUGUAGAGGUGAAAUUCGUAGAUAUUAGGAAGAACACCAGUGGCGAAGGCGGCUCACUGGAUCGGUACUGACGCUGAGGUGCGAAAGCGUGGGGAGCAAACAGGG
rnacentral:rRNA from 1 species